rnacentral:lncRNA from 1 species
UAAGGGUUGGGAUUAUAGGUAAACAAUAGGGAUUAAAUGGUGUUUCCAUGAUCUGCACUAGUUUAUAACAGUCUGCACUUGAUUCCCCCUAAUAUCUUAAGGCAACUAGGUGGCUGGUGGAACUGAUGGUCUUAGUUGAAGGGGAAAAGAAAAGGUAUCUAUGCUUACAGUAGAAAUACCUAGCAACUUUAUAUAUUGUACCUAAAAUAGUUUGACAUUAGUACUAUACAUUAUUAAGAAAUAUGUAUAUGCUAAGUUUUAUGUCUCAGAUUUCUUAUAUGAAACGAUCCUUUUAAAUCAUCUCAGGAUAAUGGACCAUUAAAUUCUUCCUGAUUUUAUAUAAAUUAUUUACAAAUAGAUUGAAUUAUUGUUGUUGG